GACGAACGCUGGCGGCGUGCUUAACACAUGCAAGUCGAGCGGAGCGGCGAACGGGUGAGUAACGCGUGAGUAACUGCCCCCCUCUCUGGGAUAACAGUUGGAAACGGCUGCUAAUACCGGUCAGUGGGGGAUGACUCGCGUCCAAUAAGCUAGUUGGUUGGGUAGUGGCCUACGAAGGCGACGACGGGUAGCCGGCCGGAGAGGGCGACCGGCCACAAUGGGCUGAGGGACGGCCCAAACGCCUACGGGAGGCAGCAGUGGGGAAUAUUGCGCAAUGGGGGAAACCCUGAUGCAGCAACGCGCGUGCGGGAUAACGGCCUUCGAGUUGUAAACCGCUUUCAGCCAUGACGCGGUAGUGGCAGAAGAAGCACCGGCUAACUCCGUGCCAGCAGCCGCGGUAAUUC
rnacentral:rRNA from 1 species